CUGUGGCAUAACACAUAAAAACCCCAAACCUCAUCAGUCAGCCUUCUCAACUAAACAGAACGUAGCAGCUGCCAUCCGCAACAGGAGGGAGCCCAAGACUACCUGUAGUACUGUGACCAAUUAAAAUCUGGGGCACACAGCCACUCCACUGAGCAAGAUGAGUCAGAUUAUUACACUUUGUCUAGGAAUGCUGAUAUUGGCACUUAUUAUACCAAGCCAGGUUCACAGUCAAAGUACUAAUUUAACGAGUGCAACAACAAUGGGUCAAAAUGCCUCCACGUCAUCUCACAAUUCAAGUGGCGUAUCACCUGUUACAACUUCCAAGAACGCUACAACACCACAUGGGCAUGCAGAUUCCUUGUACUCAUCCUCUUUACUUUUCCUAAGUUUUGCCUCUAUCUCUCUUUUUAACCUCUACUGCUGAUAAACUGUGACCUAAAUACAACCAUAGCAAUUCCUCGCCACUUCUGCUCGCUUCUGUUCUGAUAACCAAGCACACCAUGGAAUGGCAUACAAUAUGUGAUGCUGUACAAGAUCAAUAUACUCCCCAGUUCAGACGGAGAAGCUUAUCUUGACUGAGGCUUUCCCUAGCUGAAUGAUAUGUCAGGCACAGGGAACUAAAAACCUUCAGUGUCUAGUCCACCAAGAAUCAAAUUUCCUAAAUGGAAGAAGUGAGACACUAUCCCACAGUGAAACCCAACAAGAUGUAUAGUAUGAGCGGCAAGACAACAUCAUUGUAACAGAGCCGGUGAUGAGGUCAGCAAGAUCACUGCAUAAACUUGAUGGACCUACAGACUGUUUUGCUCAUAAUUAUAUAUAUAUAUAUAUAUAUAUAUAUAUAUAUACAUAAUACAAAAAUGUAUAUUGUCCCGCAACCAGUAUGGUAAUAAUGCUUUCAUUCCAUCUUUAUCUGUGUGUCGAUGAGUCAAUUUAGACUGUGAAAGACAUACCUAUAUCAAGCAGUCUGGAAGACUGAUGACAAAGAAAGGCGAGCUUGGUCUCUGUGAUGAAAAGGAGUCAUUGUACUAGAAUGAUGGAAAAAAACUGAAUUGCUCCUAGGAUUCCUCUUCCAAUCAGCUUGAUGUAGUAGCAUGUCCUUGCCAGCUACUUUCUAAACAAAUAUGUGUUGCUGUUAGUUGGUUCUUUGCACUUUAUAGAUAUUCUACUUCUUCUUAGCCAUAUUACCAGCAAAUGAUGAUACGAUUGGAAACUUUCUGCACUCUCUAGUUUGUUCAUGUCAGUUUCCUGGUGUGUUUUCAAGGCGAAAGAUCACUUAUACAUUCAUUGGUUACUGAUAUGAGGGUCCAGUAAUUGCAAUGCAAUAUAAAGAUGUCCUUGAAGUCUCUUUAGAAAGCAACGACACCGCAGUAAACUAAAUAAAAGCUGUUUUUUUGUGUGUUUUUUUUAAUUUGUUGCAAUGCAUUGACAUUUCACUGAGCCAUCUUCCAAUCUGUACCCUCAAUUGCUUUACAUGUGUUUAUGUAUUUAUUUUAAUAAGGGAUAAUUCUCAUUGAACUAAAUACAAUUCUAGAUAAUAUUAACAGCACAUUAACACAUCACCUUGAAACUUAAUGUAUUGAUUAAACAAAUUCCAAACCUAUAUUAGCUUGCAACAUAAGCUCUUCCUGAUGUCAUUAAGACUGGACUUCCAAUUUAACAACUUCUAAAUAAAAGAUAAAAUUAGCAGAAUACCUAUUAAUUUAAAUUCCUCUUUCUUGUACAUGCAUUAUGGAAAAUCUAAAACAUAUGUAUUUUGCAAUGUCAUAUCAAUAUCUUUUAUGUAAGAGCAAAGAGCAUUUCACUUAUUAUUCACAUUCCCCUAUAGUUAUGUAACUGUGCUGUGACACAACUUACAGUUGUUGAAUAUGACCGGUGCAGUGCCUACGGUAACUAUGUCUGCAGUACAAAGAAGAUACGGUAACUACUUGCUGUUUUUAAUAAUGGUGUAAAAAUAUAGGGACAUACUUUUAGGAGUUAAUGACUAGGGGAUUAUUGGGUGUGAUAUACUAUUGACUUCAAUGCAUUACUAUAUGUGCCAGGAAAUAUUGACCUCUGCAAUAAUUGAUGAUCAUUUUGUAAGUUUAAUUUAAUCAAAUAAAAUAAACAUGAAGGAA